GACGAACGCUGGCGGCGUGCCUAAUACAUGCAAGUAGAACGCAGUUUCGAACGGGUGAGUAACGCGUAGGUAACUGACUCAUACCGGGGGAUAACUUUUGGAAACGAUAGCUAAUACCGCAUCAUGUGAGAUGGACCUGCGUUGUAUUAGCUUGUUGGUGAGGUAAAGGCUCACCAAGGCGACGAUACAUAGCCGACCUGAGAGGGGGAGCGGCCAACCUUGGACUGAGACGAGGCCCAGACUCCGUCGGGAGGGAGCAGUAGGGGAUCUUCGGACAUGGAGGGAAGGCCGACCGAAGAACGGCGGGGGAGUGAAGAAGGUUUUCCGAACGUAAAGCUCUGUUAUUAGAGAAGCGGUAACUACACAGAAAGGGACGGCUAACUACGUGCCAGCAGCCGCGGUAAUUC
rnacentral:rRNA from 1 species